rnacentral:rRNA from 1 species
GACGAACGCUGGCGGCGGGCUUAACACAUGCAAGUCGAACGGAAAGGCCCUGCUUUUGUGGGGUGCUCGCGUGGCGAACGGGUGAGUAACACGUGAGUAACCUGCCCUUGACUUUGGGAUAACCUCAGGAAACUGGGGCUAAUACCGGAUAGGAGCUCCUGCUGCAUGGUGGGGGUUGGAAAGUUUCGGCGGUUGGGGAUGGACUCGCGGCUUAUCAGCUUGUGGGUGGGGUAGUGGCUUACCGAGGCAUUGACAGGUAGCCGGCCUGAGAGGGUGACCGGCCACAUUGGGACUGAGAUACGGCGCAGACUGCUACGGGAGGCAGCAGGGGGGAAUAUGGCACAAUGGGCGGAAGCGUGAUGCAGCAACGCCGCGUGCGGGAUGACGGCUUUCGGGUUGUAAACCGCUGUCGCCUGUGACGAAGCGUGAGUGACGGUAAUGGGUAAAGAAGCACCGGCUAACUACGUG